UUUAGUGGCCUAGUGGUUAGAGUGUCUGCCUCGGAUGUAGGAGGUCGCUGGUUCAAAUCCUGGCCGAGUCAU